AAAGGAAUAGACGGGUCUCCGCACAAGCAGCGGAGCGUGUGGUUUAAUUCGAUGAUACACGAAGAACCUUACCAGGGCUUGACAUGCAAGUGGUAGGAAACUGAAAAGGGACCGACCCUUCGGGGAGCUUGCACAGGUGCUGCAUGGCUGUCGUCAGCUCGUGUCGUGAGAUGUUCGGUUAAGUCCGCUAACGAGCGCAACCCUCGCUGCGUGUUACAAGUGUCACGCGGGACCGCCGGUAUUAAGCCGGAGGAAGGUGGGGAUGACGUCAAGUCAGCAUGGCCUUUAUGUUCUGGGCUACACACACGCUACAAUGGUCAGCACAAUAGGUAGCGAAGCCGCGAGGCGGAGCCAAUCCCUAAAGUUGGCCUCAGUUCAGAUUGCAGGCUGCAACCCGCCUGCAUGAAGAUGGAGUUGCUAGUAAACGCAGGUCAGCCAUACUGCGUUGAAUACGUUCCCGGAGAUUGUACACACCGCCCGU
rnacentral:rRNA from 1 species